rnacentral:rRNA from 1 species
AAUGAACGCUGGCGGCAUGCCUAACACAUGCAAGUCGAGCGAAUGAAGGGGGCUUGCUCCUGGAUGCAGCGGCGGCCGGUGGGGUAAUGCCCAGGAGUCUGCCUGAUCUUGGGGGAUGACGUCCGGAAACGGGAGCUAAUAUCGCAUACGACCAGAUAGAGAAAGUGGGGGAUCUUCGGUUCUCACGGUUUCUGCUGAGCCUAGGAGGGAUUAGCUAGUUGGUGGGGUAACGGCCUACCAAGGCGACGAACCGUAACUGGGCUGAGAGGAUGACCAGUCACACUGGAACUGAGACACGGUCGAGACUCCUACGGGAGGCAGCAGUGGGGAAUAUUGGGCAAUGGGCGAAAGCCUGAUACAGCAACGCCGCGUGAGUGAUGAAGGUCUUCGGAUUGUAAAGCACUGUAAGUAGGGAGGAAGUAAAGUAAAUUAACACCUGGCUGUCUUGACGGUACCAACAGAAUAAGCACCGGCUAACUUCGUG